GCGGGAAGAGCUCAAAUUUGAAAUCUGGUAGCCUUCGGUUGCCCGAGUUGUAAUCUAGAGAAGUGUUUUCCGUGCCGGCCCAUGUACAAGUCCCUUGGAACAGGGCGUCAUAGAGGGUGAGAAUCCCGUCCUUGACAUGGACCCCCGGUGCUUUGUGAUACACUUUCAACGAGUCGAGUUGUUUGGGAAUGCAGCUCAAAAUGGGUGGUGAAUUCCAUCUAAAGCUAAAUAUUGGCGAGAGACCGAUAGCGAACAAGUACCGUGAGGGAAAGAUGAAAAGCACUUUGGAAAGAGAGUUAAACAGUACGUGAAAUUGUUGAAAGGGAAACGAUUGAAGUCAGUCAUGCUCUUGGGACUUACCUCCCUUGAGUGGGGUCAACAUCAGUUUUGAUCGAUGGAUAAAGGCACGGGGAAGGUAGCACUCUCGGGUGAACUUAUAGCCUCGCGUCAUAUACAUUGAUUGGGACUGAGGAACGCAGCAUGCCUUAUGGCCGGGAUUCGUCCACGUACAUGCUUAGGAUGUUGACAUAAUGGCUUUAAACGACCCGUCUUGA
rnacentral:rRNA from 1 species